GGAACGGAACCUCCUUAAUUAAAUCUUAAUCAUGAUCUCACAUAUGUCCAGUAACAUUGUAGAAUAUUAUCACAUAGACCGAACCAUAUUACAACUGAUAAAUUAAUUAAAAAAAUUAAUCGAAAAGUUGGUACAAAUUUGUUCCUAUAGAAGUCAACGAACUCAUAAAUAGGUAAAUUGGACUGAAAUCAAAUUUCUAAUCAUUUUCACCGCUCAAGUGCCGGUUCAACAAAGCAAGUACUACAAGACUUGAAGAAAGAAUUUUCAAAGACCCCCCGAUCUCUAUGUCGAAAUAAUAAGAUUUCAUAGGCUGAAGGACCCUGAGUCGAUGGCCAUUUGUUUAACAAUAAAUAACAGUUAUUACUACUGAGAUUUCAGAAAUCAGAUCAUGGAUAUUUUGCUUCAUUCUAGAGUAACAGGCACUUCAUAUGGUACCAUUGUUAGACAAGAAAUGAAUGUUUUGAAGUACUGAAAGCAUUCAAGGCUGCAGUUUUUCUCAAAAUUGAAAUUAUUCAAUUCUUAAAAAAAGGAAAUAUUCAGAAAAGAUGAGAAAAAAUGGUUAUCUGUCCUCAGGACGUUCUGAAUAAAAGCUUAUUUUUCAUUCA